rnacentral:rRNA from 1 species
UCCCUUAGUAGCGGCGAGCGAACAGGGAUGAGCCCAGCGCCCAAUUCCGCGUCCCAAAGGGCGUCUGGAACAUGUGGCGUUUAGGAGGAAUCUCUCCGGAGGCAGACGGUGCCGCAAGUCCCCCUGAACGGGGCUGUGAUCCAGAGCGGGUGCGAGGCCCAUAGCUGGUACCGUCUCCUUCGGGUGUCGCCUCCUUGGAGUCGGGUUGCUUGGGAGUGRAGCCCUAAUUGGGUGGUAAACUCCACCUAAGGCUAAAUACGUCCGUGAGACCGAUAGCAAACAAGUACCGUGAGGGAAAGUUGCAAAGAACUUUGAAGAGAGAGUUCAAGAGUACUUGAAACCGCUCCACUUCCCCCUGCUUAGUAGGACGCCGCAACCCGUCGGUGCGUGCAGCCAUAAGGGAGGUCGACGGAAGGUAGCCAGUGAGUGCUUCUUCGGAGGCGCGAGCUGGUCCUAAUCCUGACCUCCUGGUGCUUGUGGCCCGACGGUGGUCAACUGUCCCUGAACGGGAUAUCGCCGAGCCCUGCAUGACCUAGCGGGAGCCGUGGCAGGCUGCUUUCCGUGACCAAAAAUCGGUCGUUCCACGCGUGCAGUGGGCGACCUUCGGAGGCGGCUGCUGGCUCAUUUGUCUCCCGCGCUGGGCACAGGUAGUNNNNNNNNNNCAAGCCCAAAGGCGCAAUGAAAGUGAAGACCAGCUUUGAAGCUGGUGGAGUUGGGAAACUGCGUCACUGACGGCGCAGUUGCACCAACGGCCCGUCCCGUCCGCAUUGUCGGUGGGGCGGAGCGAGAGCGUACACGUUGGGACCCGAAAGAUGGUGAACUAUGCCUGGGCAGGACGAAGCCAGAGGAAACUCUGGUGGAGGUCCGCAGCGGUUCUGACGUGCAAAUCAAUCGUCAGACCCGGGUAUAGGGGCGAAAGACUAAUCGAACCAUCUAGUAGCUGGUUCCCUCCGAAGUUUCCCUCAGGAUAGCUGGCGUUCGAGGGAGAUCAGUCUCAUCCGGUAAAGCGAAUGAUUAGAGGCCUUGGGGCCGAAACGACCUCAACCUAUUCUCAAACUUUAAAUGGGUGAGAAGUCCGGCUUGCCCGACCGAAGCCCGGACGAAAGGAUGAGAGCGCCCAGUGGGCCACUUUUGGUAAGCAGAACUGGCGCUGUGGGAUGAACCAAACGCCGGGUUACGGCGCCCGAUGCGAGACGCUCAUGAGACCCCAUGAAAGGUGUUGGUUGCUAUUGACAGCAGGACGGUGGCCAUGGAAGUCGGAAUCCGCUAAGGAGUGUGUAACAACUCACCUGCCGAAGCAACUAGCCCUGAAAAUGGAUGGCGCUCCAGCGUCGAGCCCAUACCCGGCCGCCGCGGCAGAAUAUAUUGAAGCUUAUGCCGCGGUGAGUAGGAGGGUCGCAGUGGCGUGCGUUGAAGGUGCCGGGCGUAAGCCCGCCUGGAGCCGCCACUGGUGCAGAUCUUGGUGGUAGUAGCAAAUACUCAAGUGAGAACCUUGAGGACUGAGGUGGAGAAGGGUUCCAUGUGAACAGCAGUUGAACAUGGGUCAGUCGGUCCUAAGGAAUAGGAGAAAUCCGUUCCGAAGCGGGACGUUUAUUUGACGGCUAGUCCCGCCCACUGACCGAAAGGGAAUCGGGUUAAUAUUCCCGAACCCGGACAAGGAGAUCGGCCCCUCGGGGUCAAGUGCGGUAACGCAACUGAACUCGGAGAAGUCGACGGGAGUCCCGGAGAGAGUUUUCUUUUCUUUGUAAGGGUUUGGCUCCCUGGAAUCGGUUCGUCCGGAGAUAGGGAUGCUAUUCCCGUAAAGCAUCGCGCCUCCUGCGGUGUCCGGAGCGCUCCUGUCGGCCCUUGAAAAUCCGAGGGAGAGAGUGUGAUUUUCUUGCCGGACCGUACCCAUAUCCGCAGCAGGUCUCCA